rnacentral:rRNA from 1 species
UACGUAGGGUGCAAGCGUUAAUCGGAAUUACUGGGCGUAAAGCGUGCGCAGGCGGUUUUAUAAGGCAGAUGUGAAAUCCCCGGGCUCAACCUGGGAACUGCAUUUGUGACUGUAGAGCUGGAGUGCGGCAGAGGGGGAUGGAAUUCCGCGUGUAGCAGUGAAAUGCGUAGAUAUGCGGAGGAACACCGAUGGCGAAGGCAAUCCCCUGGGCCUGCACUGACGCUCAUGCGCGAAAGCGUGGGGAGCAAACAGG